rnacentral:rRNA from 1 species
UACAGAGGGGGCAAGCGUUAUUCGGAAUUAUUGGGCGUAAAGGGCGCGUAGGCGGCUUGGCAAGUGGAUGGUGAAAUCCCUCGGCUUAACCGAGGAACUGCCGUCCAAACUGCUUCGCUUGAGACCGGGAGAGGUGAGUGGAAUUUCCAGUGUAGCGGUGAAAUGCGUAGAUAUUGGGAGGAACACCAGUGGCGAAGGCGGCUCACUGGACCGGUACUGACGCUGAUGCGCGAAAGCGUGGGGAGCAAACGGG